rnacentral:rRNA from 1 species
UACGGAGGGUGCAAGCGUUAAUCGGAAUUACUGGGCGUAAAGCGUGCGUAGGCGGUUCGUUAAGUCUGUUGUGAAAGCCCCGGGCUCAACCUGGGAAUGGCAAUGGAUACUGGCUGGCUAGAGUGUGUCAGAGGAUGGUGGAAUUCCCGGUGUAGCGGUGAAAUGCGUAGAGAUCGGGAGGAACAUCAGUGGCGAAGGCGGCCAUCUGGGACAACACUGACGCUGAAGCACGAAAGCGUGGGGAGCAAACAGG